rnacentral:lncRNA from 1 species
CAGGCACAGUUGGGAGCAGGUAAGUCUACCUGGAGUGGGGAGACAGGGCUGGGCUUGGGCAUGAUAACCCUGGAGGCCUGUGUCCUAAUUGUCUGAGGUGGGGGCAGGUGGGGCCAGGGGUAGACUGUGAAAUGAGUAGCUCUAGUUGCUGCAGCAUCAAGGCCCCAGUGACAGCUGGCUUCUCAUGGGGACCCCAAGUCUCAGCUCUGUUCCUGGGCCCGCAGUAUCCUAAAAGGUACCUUCUCUGCUCGCCCCUUGAGAUUUUCCCUCUGGGAUGAGGGGUUCCACACACUGCCCUGAGGGGGCUGGUCUUGGAGCUGCAAGGUGGCCAGAGGGUUAAGUCCAGCCUGAAGUAUCCUUCCUCAGCCCACUUUGCCCCCACUGACUUGAGAACUAGCCACCAGACACCCAAGCAAAGGAAAGGGGUUCUUAUUAGAUGCACUGGACAAAGAAGACGGAGCCCUGCUUUAGAGCCCUGAGGCCGCAGCAGGUGCCCCGACAGGCGGCUUAGGACGACUGAGGCGAACGCUCCCGCUUCAGGUCCCAUAUCCCACAUCCAGGCAUGAGCAGGGCCGCGCUCCCUCCGAAGGCGGCGUUCCUGGGCUGGUGGCCGCAUUACCCCAUCUCCGCCUCCGUUCUACGUGCUGCCUCCCUGAAUCCUCUCCUCUUCUGCCUCUUACUGGGUUUAGGGCCCAGCUUAAUUCAGAUGCCAUCGUCUCAAGACCUUUCACUUAGUUCUAUCUGCAGGGACCUUUUCUUUGAAUAAGGUCACACUCACAGGGUCCGGGAGGAACGUGUCCUUUUGGAGACUGCUGUUCAGCCCUGUCCAGGCCCCUGCCCUGGUCCAGGAGCAGGACUUCAUCUCAAACCCCCGAUUCCUAGGGCACGGAUGUGGCCCUUGCAGUGUUAACAGCUCCUGGGUGAGGCUUGGCCACUCCAGGCCCCCAGCAUGGAUGCUGUCGGGAGGAGACUCAGGCUGGGCUUCUGGGAUCACCAGGCGGGGUAACCACGAUGGUGACGAAUAGAUAACGAGCCCAGCUGCUUGCCAGGCCCCGCACUGCCUUCUUUCACCCUGCGGCACUGCCUUCUUUCACCCUGCGGCACUGCCUUCUUUCACCCUGCGGCAGCCGGCGAGGCAUUCCACACAAAUGGGCUGUGAGCGCAGCCUUGGCAGGGGGGCCAGGACGAUCUACUCACCUGACCCUCGUCCGUCAGAGAGCGCCCUCUGCACCCACCUCACCCAGGGCUGGCACCCAGAGCUAGGGCUUUUCUCCCAGAGCUCUUUCAUUCUCCAGAUCCACAAACCAGGACUGAAUCCGGACGGCUCAAUUGCUUUAACCUGCUUGGGGUCCACAGUCUAACUAGCAAUUGGAAUCAAUUUGAAACCCAUCUGUGGCUGGAUCUUUUGACAGCUUUGUAUUAUUGCUCAUUCAUUUACUCAAAAGUACAUUCUAGGAGUUCCCAUGUGGCACAGUUGGUUAAGAACCCAACUGCAGCAGCUCGUGUUACAACAGAGGUGCGGGUUUGAUCCCCAGCCCAGCAUACUGGGUUAAAGAAUCUGGCAUAGGUUGCAGCUGAGUCUUUCUUUCUUUUCUUUUUUUUUUCUUUUUUGCUUUUUGGGCCGCACCCCUACAGCUUAUGAAAGUUCCCAGGCUAGGGGUCGAACCUGCAUUUGCCAGGCUACACCACAGCAAUGUGGAAUCUGAGCCACAUCUGCGACCUACACCACAGUUCAUGGCAGCACCGGAUCCGUGACCCACUGAGUGAGGCCAGGGAUCGAAUGGGCAUCCUCAUGGGUACCAGUCGGAUUCGUUUACUCUGCACCACAACAAGAACUCCAGAGUCUUGGAUUCCAUCUGUGGCCUGGGAACUUCCCUAUACUGUGGGUAUGGCCAUUUAAAAAAAGUUCUAAUCAAAACAGACUCAGCGUCUAGGGAGUUCCCUUCAUGGCUCAGUGGUUAACGAAUCUGGCUAGGAUUCAGGAGGACGUGGGUUCGAUCCCUAGCCUCGCUCAGUGGGUCAAUGAUCUGGCAUUGCUGUGAGCUGUGGUGUAGGCUAGCAGCUGUAGCUCCGAUUCAACCCCUCGCCUGGGAACUUCCAUGUGCUUUUUAGAGCAGGUAUGACCCUACAAAGCAAAAAAAAAAAAAAAAAAAAAAAAAAAAAAAAAAAAAAGAACAAUAAGGAAACUGGUCUCAGUAUCUAAACCUAAACAAGCUUAGGUCUAGCCUUGUCCCAGAUGUGCGCAUCCAUCCUUUGCCCACAGGGUCCCUGAGGGCAUCCAGCCUGCCUGUGCCCUCCUGAUGCCUGUGCUGUGGUCAGGCCGGGCAGAGGAACGCCUGUUGCUCCCUGGUGAGCCGUGCUCCCAGAGGCAGGCCGGACUUCUGGAGACGUCUCAGUGGAAGGAGGGCUGAGUCCAGGUGGGGCUCAGGGAGGCAGAGGUGCAGGAGGAGGAGAUGUGUUACCAGCCUCGCCGUCCUCACCAGCCCUGGGUGAAUGGCCUAAAAGCUGCUCCUGGCCGGCUCUGCCCUAGCUCAGAGCCUGUAGGAUGAGUGUCCUAUGGCUGCUGUAGCAGGUUACCACCAACCGAGUGGCUUGGAACAACCCGCAUUUAUUUUGUUUUGGUUCUGGAGGUCAAAUCCAAAAGGAGUCCUGUGAGGCUAAAAUCGAGGUGUCGGCAGGGCUGGCUCCUCCCGAGGCUCAAGGGGCGACGUUUCCUCACGGUCUUCUCCCCGAGGCCUGCCUCAUUCCGUGGCUCGUGGCCCCUUCUGCAUCUUCACGGGGCGUCAUUCUGGCCGCAGCUUCCGUCCUCGGGUCUCCUCCUCUGACUCUGACCAUCUGGCCUCCCCUCCCCAGGACCUGGCCAUUGUAUCGGGCCCACCCAGAUGUCCCCGCAUCGUUUUCCCAUCUCAAGACCCUUAACCUGAUGGUGUCUAUAAAGUCCCCUCUGCCGCACAGGGUGAUGUAGUCACAGGUUCUGGGGGUUGGGACAGGGACAUCUUGGGAGCAUUGUCCCUAGAGUCGAGAGUCCUUGGCUGAUCUCUAGGACAUCUGUUCCCCCCACACGGCCUCCCAGAGCUGCUCACUCUAAGGCUGCAGGCUGCCCCCACCUCUGGGGUCAGCAUGUGCCGGGCGCCCUGCCUGGAAUCCACUGAGAACCUUUCUCAUCCACCGGAACUCAGGGGUCCCGUCCCGUUGGGAGUCUCCCGGUUACUCAGCUUCUGGCUUUUGCAAAGACAGGAAAGCCGUAGAGGGGAGCCUAGGAGCAGGUGUUGGGGUCAGGGGUGAGUUCGGGUCUGGACCUGUGCACCCAGGGCAUCUACAGGCCUGCGAGGGGAGCACUGGCUUAGAGCUGGGCUCUCAGGCCUCACCGGGUCUCAGUUUUGAACUUGUUCCCCAGCCCCACAUCCCUCCCCUUGGAGGGAAGCGGUGUGGCAGUCCGGGUGGUUAGCUGGUAGGCAGGUCCUGCCUCUGACCGGUGGAGGGAUCCACGUGGCAACUGGUGAUCAGAGCUGGAGCUGGGGAGUGACCCUCAACUGGGCAUUUGCUCUUAGGCCAAACCCACGAAGCACAUGGGACUCCGUUCAAGGGACAUGACCCAAGCUGUGCGUACCCCAAAGGCUAACGGGACUUACAGUGUCCCCGAGUCGGUCAGGGCCUCCAGGGCGCAGACCUGAGACGGGGUUAGGAAUUCAAGAGACUUGGGCUGGGGAGGUGUUCACAGAGGGGAGGGGGGAAGGGGGCAGGCAGAGAGCCCCGCAGAUGCUGUGCGGACGGGACAAGGCCAGGCCAGCCCAGUGAGGGCCUUUCAGGCAAACUGCCCAGUGGACAGCCGGGCCCUGUGCUGCCACAUUGGCCAGAGGUGUCAGCUCCCUGCGGUCCCCUCCUGCUUCCGCAGGGCCCUGGCCACUCAGCCGGUCAUUCCUGAGCCCUCCUUGGCGCCGGGCAUGUUUUAGAUGCCGCUGGUGAGGGGUGGUGAAGUCUAAGUUUCGCGAGUGAAUGGGCAGAAGCAGGGAAGUUGGGGAGAGGAUGCCCCGCAGGCAUCCCUGUGGGGUGGGCGCUCAGAAGGACUCUCUGGAAAGGGACGUAGACAGGAGACAGCCAGGGAAGGACGCAGCCAUCUGAGCGGAAGGGACAGUCGGGGCCCUGCGUGGGAAGGAGCUUCGUGCUCCCGGACCCCCUCUCUCCCGUGGCCUGGCCCGGCACCUUAGACCCCAUGCCCUGUUCGGUUGUCACCCUCACGGCCUCUGGUCCCACCUCGUGGGUGGGUCAGCCUUUGGUCUGGAGGCCGGGGAGAAAGGGACACCGGAGAUUCAGAAGUGAAGAAUGGAGCCAGACCCCAAAGGCCGCAGAGUGUGUGACCCUUCCUGUGCCCCCCGACAUGUCCGGAACAGGCAGAUUUGGGAGACAGGAUGCAGAUGAGCAGUUGCCAGGGGCUCGGGGAGGGAGAGUGGGGUUGAGGGCCUCAUGGGUAUGGGUGUCUUUUGGGGGUGAUGAAAUGUUCUGGAAGCAGACGGAGAUGGUGGUUGCACAACCUUGUGAGUGAACUUAAUGCUACUGAAUCGUUGCCUCGUAAUGGUUAAUUUCGUGGGAAUUUUUCCUCAGAAGCUGUGCACACACAAGUGGAAGGACAGGAAGGUGGGGCACCGUGGGGUCUGGUCCUUCUGGGAAGAGCUGAAGAGCUGCCAGACUGGCCAGCGUGUCACCCACAUCUUUUUGCGCUAAAAUCACAUCCCUCUCCUCCCCAGCCUCGAGGUCCGUUCCGAAAGCCUUUGUCCCGUGUCUCAGGCUGGGGGAGCUCUAGAGUGGGGUGGGAAGAAGGGUCCUGCACACAGGACUGGGUUGGCCUGUGGAGAGGUGCGCGAGGGGGAGCGGGCAGCGGGGUGGGCUCCAGCCAAGCGAACAGGCCUUUGCAGGGGCCAGAGGACAGGACGUGGACCCCAGGGUGGGGCAGGACCUGGAGGAGCCCCACCAGCUCCUCUCUCUCUUCUCUUCUCUUUUUCCGCUAAGCCGUGAAAGCUCCACAUCCCCCGGCUCAAAACCCGAGCGAGGGUGUGCGCCCGGGAGACUUGCUCGGAGCCGUCUACCCCUCUGCCCCUGCUGCUGCCGUCCCCACAGGAUCCCCAGCCUGCCCCAGGGCCUGCCAGGCACCCGAGGCCUCUGCGCCUGGAGUCUAGAGCUGGCAUGCAGCCCACCAAGGAGCCCACCAACCUGUGAGCCCUGUGCCCACACGCCAACGGCUGCCCGCAUCCCCUCCCCACCCAUCCCCCGGUGGUGGGGACUGUGCCGAGCCUGACCUGGGAUUUAGGGGGCGGACUCGUCUUGAUCCUGUGGCCAUAUAAAUACACACAUCCCAGUGCUGCUUGUGCUGCAUCUCGUGGAGAACACAGCUUUCUGGCUUGAAUUUUCCACUAAGCCAAGUGAAUUCCUGAGCAGUUUUCAAUACAACACAGUUAAAAUGGUUUUAAAAACAAUCACUUUCCUUUUAAUUUUGCUGAAAUGACUUCAUCAGAAUCAGUUCCAAUUACAGCUAAUGCUGCUGUCCUUUUGCCUUGGGGACUGUAAUUUCUAUCAGGACCAGUUUUCGCACGGGAACCAGCCUUCCUCCGUGCUUGCUUACAUAUUUUGUGCUGAUUGUUUCCACGAGUGACGGCUGC